rnacentral:snRNA from 1 species
GUGCUCUCUUCCGCAGCACAUAUACUAAAAUUGGAACGAUACAGAGAAGAUUAGCAUGGCCCCUGCACAAGGAUGACACGCAAAUUCGUGAAGCAUUCCAUAUUUUU